CUGGGAGGUCAGUGCAGGGUUCCUCCAUUUUGACAUGAGUAAAUUCUAGAUUAGGUAUUUGGCAGUUAACUCAUCUGGAUAUAUGGGAACAGAAGUGCCAGACACGUAGAUAAUAUUUGGAGAACAGGAGCAGACUUGGAACAUGCUGAAUAGAGGACAAGGAAAUACAGCAAGAAGCUGGUCAUCAGUAAGCCAGGAAGAGAGCCCCACCAGGGAUCUGAAGCAGCUGGCAUCUUGAUCGUGGAUUUCACAGACCUCAGAACAAUAAGAUAUAAAUCCUUUUGUUUAAGCCACCAAGUCUCUG
rnacentral:lncRNA from 1 species